GACGAACGCUGGCGGCGUGCCUAAUACAUGCAAGUUGAGCGCUGAAGGUUGGUGCUUGUCCCAAUUUGAAGAGCAGCGAACGGGUGAGUAACGCGUGGGGAAUCUGCCUUUGAGCGGGGGACAACAUUUGGAAACGAAUGCUAAUACCGCAUAACAACUUUAAACACAAGUUUUAAGUUUGAAAGAUGCAAUUGCAUCACUCAAAGAUGAUCCCGCGUUGUAUUAGCUAGUUGGUGAGGUAAAGGCUCACCAAGGCGAUGAUACAUAGCCGACCUGAGAGGGUGAUCGGCCACAUUGGGACUGAGACACGGCCCAAACUCCUACGGGAGGCAGCAGUAGGGAAUCUUCGGCAAUGGACGAAAGUCUGACCGAGCAACGCCGCGUGAGGGAAGAAGGGUUUCGGAUCGUAAAACUCUGUUGGUAGAGAAGAACGUUGGUGAGAGUGGAAAGCUCAUCAAGUGACGGUAACUACCCAGAAAGGGACGGCUAACUACGUG
rnacentral:rRNA from 1 species